UUGGGAGUGUGGCUCAGUGGUAGAGUGCUUGUCUAGCAUACGUGAGGCCCUGGGUUGGAUCCCCCUCCAAAA
rnacentral:tRNA from 1 species